AUACGGAGGAUGCGAGCGUUAUCCGGAUUUAUUGGGUUUAAAGGGUGCGUAGGCGGUUUAUUAAGUUAGUGGUUAAAUAUUUGAGCUAAACUCAAUUGUGCCAUUAAUACUGGUAAACUGGAGUACAGACGAGGUAGGCGGAAUAAGUUAAGUAGCGGUGAAAUGCAUAGAUAUAACUUAGAACUCCGAUAGCGAAGGCAGCUUACCAGACUGUAACUGACGCUGAUGCACGAGAGCGUGGGUAGCGAACAGGAUUAGAUACCCUGGUAGUCCACGCCGUAAACGAUGCUCACUGGUUCUGUGCGAUAUAUUGUACGGGAUUAAGCGAAAGUAUUAAGUGAGCCACCUGGGGAGUACGUCGGCAACGAUGAAACUCAAAGGAAUUGACGGGGGCCCGCACAAGCGGAGGAACAUGUGGUUUAAUUCGAUGAUACGCGAGGAACCUUACCCGGGCUUGAAAGUUACUGACGAUUCUGGAAACAGGAUUUCCCUUCGGGGCAGGAAACUAGGUGCUGCAUGGUUGUCGUCAGCUCGUGCCGUGAGGUGUCGGGUUAAGUCCCAUAACGAGCGCAACCCUUACCGUUAGUUGCUAGCAUGUAAUGAUGAGCACUCUAACGGGACUGCCACCGUAAGGUGAGAGGAAGGCGGGGAUGACGUCAAAUCAGCACGGCCCUUACACCCAGGGCUACACACGUGUUACAAUGGCCGGUACAGAGGGCCGCUACCAGGUGACUGGAUGCCAAUCUCAAAAGCCGGUCGUAGUUCGGAUUGGAGUCUGUAACCCGACUCCAUGAAGUUGGAUUCGCUAGUAAUCGCGCAUCAGCCAUGGCGCGGUGAAUACGUUCCCGGGCCUUGUACACACCGCCCGUCAAGCCAUGGGAGCCGGGGGUACCUGAAGUGCGUAACCGCGAGGAUCGCCCUAGGGUAAAACUGGUGACUGGGGCUAAGUCGUAACAAGGUAGCCGUACCGGAAGGUGCGGCUG
rnacentral:rRNA from 1 species